AGAAUAUGUGAUGUUUGGUUUUCUGUUCCUGCAUUAGUUUGCUAAGGAUAAUGGCCGUCAGCUCCAUCCAUAUCCCUGCAAAGGACAUGAUCUCAUUCUGUUUAAUGGCUGCAUAGUAUUCCAUGAUGUAUAUGUACCACAUUUUCUUUAUACAGUCUACUAUUGAUGAGCAUUUAGGUUGAUUCCAUGUCUUUGCUAUUGUGAAUAGUGCUGUAACCUCAUCACCUUCUGAAACUGGUAGUGGCCAAAUGACCUGCCUCAGCCCAAGAGAAGCAAAACACUGGUAGAUGUAUUCUGGGAAAACCUUUAUUUCCUAAGAAAAGAGACCGACUUAGCUGUUACCAUCAAUUCCAUCCCUCUUCCUGCCUUGUACAUUAUGCCACCAGCAGUGGUGAUCUUUCAACCACCGGGGAAAGGCCAAAAGAUUCACCAACACUGGUCCUGAUGUUAUUGACUCAAAAGUAGCAGCAACUUAACUACAGACUUUAGCUGUGUGAUAAAAAUAAACAUGUUUGGCAUAAACCAUUCUAUUUUAUGUCUUUCUUAUUGCACCCAAAACCAUACCUAAACUUACUCAGGCAAUGAAAUUUAUAAAAUAAUCCAUCCUUUUCCUACUAAAAUGAAAAUAUUUUAGAACAUUAGUAAACUGAAUACCUCACAUAAACCCGAGUAAGGUAAAGAGAUAAGAGCAAAAUUAUGUAAGAUUUGUAAUGAGUGAAAGGAGACAUGGAUAUUGAAUCAAUUCGUAGGAUCAGAAGAGAAUACUAGAGUAAAUGGGUGAUUUCCUAGUAAGAUACAACUGAUCAAAAUUAAUAAAAUAAAAAAAAAAUAAGUUAAAAAUAUCGUUUUCAGAGUCAUCAUUUAAAAUUUACCAGGACUAUAGGAAAAUAUUUUUAAGGUAGUGCCCUUUCCUCAGGCAUCCCAUGUCCGCCGAUUCCUCCUCCCUGGCCGCCGCAUCCUUGGCUGGCGUCAGAAAACUGGCUACAAACUUCCUAGUACAUAAGAAGAUCUGGUUGGACAAGUUCAAAUAUGACGAUGCAGAAAGGAGAUUCUACGAGCAGAUGAACGGACCUGUGGCCGGUGCCUCCGGCCAGGAGAACUGCGCCAGCGUGAUCCUCCGUGACAGUGCGAGAGCCAGAGAGAACAUCCCGAAAUCCCUGGCCGGAAACUCAGGCCCCGAGGCCUCCAGCGGCCCCUGCGCAGACCACAGCGAGCUCAUCGUCCGGAUCUCCAGUCUGAAAGUGAAGAACCAGAGCCUGCGCGGCGUGGUACAGGAGCUGCAGCAGAUCAUCUCCAAGCUGGAGGCGCGGCUGAACGUGCUGGGGAAGAGCUCGCCUGGCCACUGGGCCACGGCCCCACAGACCCAGCACAUGUCUUCCAUGCGCCAAGUGGAGUCCCCGGCCAAGAAGCCAGCCACACCAGCAGGGGAUGACGAGGAUGAUGCCAUUGACAUGUUUGGCAGCGACAAUGAGAAGGGGGACAAGAAGGAGGCACAGCUGCGGGAGGAGCGGCUGCAGCAGUACGUGGAGAGGAAGGCCAAGAAGCCUGCACGGGUGGCCAAAUCCUCCAUCCUGCUCGAUGUCAAGCCUUGGGAUGAUGAGAUGGACAUGGCUGGAGGCCUGUGUGCGCUCCAUCCAGCUGGACGGGCUGGUCUGGGGGGCCUCCAAGCUGGUGCCCGUGGGCUACGGUAUCUGGAAGCUACAGAUUCAGUGUGUGGUGGAGGACAAGGUGGGGACAGACUUGCUGGAGGAUGAGAUCACCAAGUUUGAGGAACACAUGCAAAGUGUCGAUAUCACAGCUUUCAACAAGAUCUGAAGCCUGAGUGUGUGUGUGUGCGCGUGAGGCCCAGCCACGAUUAAAGACUGAGACAGGCAAAAAAAAAAAAAAA